GACGAACGCUGGCGGCGUGCCUAAUACAUGCAAGUAGAACGCAGUUGCGAACGGGUGAGUAACGCGUAUGUAACUGCCUCAUAGCGGGGGAUAACUCUUGGCAACGAUAGCUAAUACCGCAUCCUGUGAGCUGGACCUGCGUUGUAGUAGCUAGUUGGUGAGGUAAAGGCCCACCCAGGCGACGGUACAUAGCCGGGCUGGGACGGGGAUCGGCCACACUGGGACUGAGACACGGCCCAGACUCCUACGGGAGGCAGCAGGAGGGAAUCUUCGGCAAUGGACGGAAGUCUGACCGAUCAACGCCGCGUGAGUGAAGAAGGUUUUCGGAUCGUAAAGCUCUGUUGUUAGAGAAGCGGUAACUAACGAGAAAGGGACGGCUAACUACGUGCCAGCAGCCGCGGUAAUAC
rnacentral:rRNA from 1 species